AGUGAACGCUGGCGGCAGGCCUAACACAUGCAAGUCGAGCGGCAGCGGGCUGUAGCAAUACAGUGCCGGCGAGCGGCGGACGGGUGAGGAAUACAUCGGAAUCUACCUUGUCGUGGGGGAUAACGUAGGGAAACUUACGCUAAUACCGCAUACGAACUACGGUUGAAAGCGGAGGACCGCAAGGCUUCGCGCGAUUGGAUGAGCCGAUGUCGGAUUAGCUAGUUGGCGGGGUAAUGGCCCACCAAGGCGACGAUCCGUAGCUGGUCUGAGAGGAUGAUCAGCCACACUGGAACUGAAACACGGUCCAGACUCCUACGGGAGGCAGCAGUAGGGAAUAUUGCGCAAUGGGCGAAAGCCUGACGCAGCCACGCCGCGUGAGUGAAGAAGGCCU
rnacentral:rRNA from 1 species